rnacentral:rRNA from 1 species
AUUGAACGCUGGCGGCAGGCCUAACACAUGCAAGUCGAGCGGAUGAAGGGAGCUUGCUCCUGGAUUCAGCGGCGGACGGGUGAGUAAUGCCUAGGAAUCUGCCUGGUAGUGGGGGAUAACGUCCGGAAACGGGCGCUAAUACCGCAUACGUCCUGAGGGAGAAAGUGGGGGAUCUUCGGACCUCACGCUAUCAGAUGAGCCUAGGUCAGAUUAGCUAGUUGGUGGGGUAAAGGCCUACCAAGGCGACGAUCCGUAACUGGUCUGAGAGGAUGAUCAGUCACACUGGAACUGGGACACGGUCCAGACUCCUACGGGAGGCAGCAGUGGGGAAUAUUGGACAAUGGGCGAAAGCCUGAUCCAGCCAUGCCGCGUGUGUGAAGAAGGUCUUCGGAUUGUAAAGCACUUUAAGUUGGGAGGAAGGGCAGUAAGUUAAUACCUUGCUGUUUUGACGUUACCAACAGAAUAAGCACCGGCUAACUUCGUG